ensembl:snRNA U6 U6 spliceosomal RNA
AUGCUUACUUUGGCAGCACAUACAGUGAAAUUGGAACCAGAGAAGAGGCUGGCCCUUGCACAAGGAUGACAUGUAAAUUUAUGGGCGUUCCAUAUUUGU